GCGAGAAAGUUCCCUUCUGGGGGGCGAGUAAAGCGGCGCACGGGUGAGUAACACGUGGAUAACCUGCCCUUUGGUAUGGGACAACAUUCCGAAAGGAUUGCUAAUACCGUAUAAGUCGGCGGAGGCUUCGGUUUCUGUCGGGAAAGGCGGCUUCUUCGGGAGCUGUCGCCAGAGGAGGGGUCCGCGGCCCAUCAGCCAGAUGGUGAGGUAAUGGCUCACCAUAGCUAAGACGGGUAGCUGGUCUGAGAGGAUGAUCAGCCACACUGGGACUGAGACACGGCCCAGACUCCUACGGGAGGCAGCAGUGGGGAAUAUUGGACAAUGGCGCAAGCCUGAUCCAGCCACGCCGCGUGUGUGAUGAAGGCCUUCGGGUCGUAAAGCACUGUGGAGGGGGAAGAACGACCAGAGGGAAUAAUACCCCUUUGGAGUGACGCUACCCCUUUAGCAAGCACCGGCUAACUCCGUGCCAGCAGCCGCGGUAA
rnacentral:rRNA from 1 species